rnacentral:lncRNA from 1 species
UCUAAUAUAUUCUCGUAAUUUUCACAUUAGAAAGGAAUAAAUUAAUGAGUAAAAAAUAUUUAUUAUAAUAUAUAAUCGGAAAUGAAAUUACAAAAUACGAAAAUACUGAAACUGGCAAUUUUAAUAUAACUAUGUGGUAAUAUCUACGUAUUUUUAAUUUUUACAAUAUUCGACAGGAUAUAUAAUAUUUCAAUAUUUGUGUAUUACAGAGUAUGUGCAGUAUUUAAGUUAUUACUACAUGUCACUAAAAUAUUUAUUAUAAAUAUAAGUUACAGUUACAAUAGAAUGCGUUGUACAGCUACGAUCACUGAAUAGUCUACGGCUUCAUUUUUCCAUUACUUAAUUUACUUACAUACUUUAAAAUAGCAGUGUCUUACGGAUUUGCAAAGUGAUUGUCAAAAAUUUCGAUCGUAUUGAAAAAUAUAAUAAGAUUGGUCACUAAGGCAAGUUUCUGCAGAUCUGAACAUGAGCCAUAUAUGCAUACGGCAAAUCAAACAAACAUGGGAUGAUUUUCACCCUAUAGUACGGUUGAGUGGAUAAAGAAAGCAGAAGAUCUCCACAGAGCGAUUUAAUGAUGUAUCACCAAGACAAGAAGUAUCCUCACUUAUGGGUGUGAAAAUUGGAUAAUAAAUAAAAAAAAA